rnacentral:tRNA from 1 species
AAGAUUUUAAGUUAAUAACUGUAAACCUUCAAAGUUUAAAUUAUAAAUUGUAAUUUUAUAAAUCUUA